GGGAAUUUUCCGCAAUGGGCGAAAGCCUGACGGAGCAACGCCGCGUGAGGGAUGAAGGCCUCUGGGCUGUAAACCUCUUUUCUCAAGGAAGAAGAUCUGACGGUACUUGAGGAAUAAGCCACGGCUAAUUCCGUGCCAGCAGCCGCGGUAAUACGGGAGUGGCAAGCGUUAUCCGGAAUUAUUGGGCGUAAAGCGUCCGCAGGCGGCCUUUUAAGUCUGUUGUUAAAGCGUGGAGCUUAACUCCAUUUAAGCAAUGGAAACUGGAAGGCUAGAGUGUGGUAGGGGCAGAGGGAAUUCCCGGUGUAGCGGUGAAAUGCGUAGAUAUCGGGAAGAACACCAGUGGCGAAGGCGCUCUGCUGGGCCAUAACUGACGCUCAUGGACGAAAGCCAGGGGAGCGAAAGGGAUUAGAUACCCCUGUAGUC
rnacentral:rRNA from 1 species